AGGAGUUCCAGCAGACAGGGGAGAGAUUUGUUGGGAUUGGUUAGAAAUAGCAGCACAUCAUCUGCGAAGAGUGCUAUUUUUUGCUCCCCACAUGGGGUUAACAACCCACUGAUGGUUGGAUUUUGUUUUAUUUGUCAAAUCACGCGUUCUAGGCUAAAGAUGAAUAUUGUCGGCAAAAGAGGGAACCCUUGUAGUGCUACAUCACAUUCCUAAACUAUUAUGGACCAAGAGUCCAAAUGCUCAUCGAUAGUAUCACGGAACCUGAGAGUUUAGACUUCAGGGUUGUACACUCAUACUGCCAAACCCGUAG